AGUUUGAUCCUGGCUCAGAACGAACGCUGGCGGCAGGCUUAACACAUGCAAGUCGAACGCCCCGCAAGGGGAGUGGCAGACGGGUGAGUAACGCGUGGGAACAUACCCUUUUCUACGGAAUAGCUCUGGGAAACUGGAAUUAAUACCGUAUACGCCCUACGGGGGAAAGAUUUAUCGGGGAAGGAUUGGCCCGCGUUGGAUUAGCUAGUUGGUGGGGUAAAGGCCUACCAAGGCGACGAUCCAUAGCUGGUCUGAGAGGAUGAUCAGCCACAUUGGGACUGAGACACGGCCCAAACUCCUACGGGAGGCAGCAGUGGGGAAUAUUGGACAAUGGGCGCAAGCCUGAUCCAGCCAUGCCGCGUGAGUGAUGAAGGCCUUAGGGUUGUAAAGCUCUUUCACCGAUGAAGAUAAUGACGGUAGUCGGAGAAGAAGCCCCGGCUAACUUCGUGCCAGCAGCCGCGGUAA
rnacentral:rRNA from 1 species